rnacentral:lncRNA from 1 species
GGGAAUAAAGAAUGUAAGAGGAGGCAAUGCAAUCUCUUCUUUCUCGUUGAUGGGGAUAGAGAGAGGGGCUAUCUGAGUUGAUUACAUGUAAAUAAGCCUUAGGAUUUUUUUUUCUUUAAGGACCAUCUGGAAGAGGCAGCUGUACUGCAUCUUCACUAAAGCUAGAAGAGGAAGUAGUGGGCUUAAGCUUCCACACAGGGAUUUGGGUUAAAUAUAAGAAAAUAUUUCCUUACAAGAAGAUUUGUAAACAUUGGUACUGGGUAAAGAAGGAGGUGGCGUAAUCACAUUCCCUGGAGGACUUUACCACAGAAGAGAUUGCUGUCAAAUUAAGAUGAUUUUCUGUGCGUGCCUACAAGAAGCAGAGAAUGGGCACCCAUGGAACCAGGACAUCUCUGCAUUAAUAAGGACCUGAAAGACACUUAGCUGAAACACCCAUUUUACAGAGGACAGAAAUGUGGCGUAGAAAAUGGGCUCUACUCCAGGGGAGCCACCCACCUUCUGACACUCUGAGUACAAGAAUGUGCUAUGUCUACUUCAUCUUGGGACUCCUCAGCAGAAUGUGACCAAACCCUAGUACCAGGGGGCCCUCCUUGAAAACUACACAGUUGUCAUGUGUUUAAAGCUGGAUGAAUCCACUCACUUAUAACAAAAGGAGAUCUGAAAUUGUUGACUAUUUCUUCUGACAUCUGUGACUGGAGUUCUAGGGGUGAUGCUGACGUGUGGGCAUUUGGAGAAGGCAGGCCUGGGUGUGGUGGUGUGGAAGCAGGAGGUCUGGGGCACUGAGGUGGAGGAGGGCCUGGGAAAGAGAACUCUAGGAGCAAGGAGAGAAGUUCCAGAGGGAGGUAAACGACCGCCAAAAAUAACCCUUCCACUUAGAAGACGUGCCUGGGGAAAUGUUACUGAAAAUUCCUUUUGCAAUGGAUCUUAGGUAGUUAAUUUAUUUUUCCACCGAUAUUUUAAUAUACAGUUGCUGUGAUUUUUUUAAAUUCCACUAUUAAACUUACAUUUUAAUUUGAUCUGCCCAAAAUAAAGUUGUGAUCCACUCUUAUUUCCAAGAAGUCAUUUGUUAAUUCAUUUCUUUCUUUAAAAAAACUGUAUUAAGUGACUACUCUUUGUAAAACACUUUGCUAUAUGUCAUGG